GCGUUCGUGGUGUAAUGGUCAGCACAAUCGGCGCGUAUUCGAGAGGGCCGAGGUUUGAAUCCUGUCGAAGGCA
rnacentral:tRNA from 1 species